GAUGAACGCUGGCGGCGUGCUUAACACAUGCAAGUCGAACGAAGCACUUUGGAGUUUUCGGACAAAGAAGUGACUGAGUGGCGGACGGGUGAGUAACGCGUGGGUAACCUGCCUUAUACAGGGGGAUAACAGUUAGAAAUGACUGCUAAUACCGCAUGAGCCGAUAGAGUCGCAUGACUUAGUCGGAAAAGAUUUAUCGGUAUAAGAUGGACCCGCGUCUGAUUAGCUAGUUGGUGAGGUAAUGGCCCACCAAGGCGACGAUCAGUAGCCGGCUUGAGAGAGUGAACGGCCACAUUGGGACUGAGACACGGCCCAAACUCCUACGGGAGGCAGCAGUGGGGAAUAUUGCACAAUGGGGGAAACCCUGAUGCAGCAACGCCGCGUGAAGGAAGAAGUAUUUCGGUAUGUAAACUUCUACCAGCAGGGAGGAAAAUGACGGUACCUGACUAAGAAGCCCCGGCUAACUACGUGCCAGCAGCCGCGGUAACAC
rnacentral:rRNA from 1 species